AUUGAACGCUGGCGGCAUGCCUUACACAUGCAAGUCGAACGGUAGAGGGGCAACCCUCGAGAGUGGCGAACGGGUGAGUAAUGCAUCGGAACGUGCCCAGUCGUGGGGGAUAACACUUCGAAAGAAGUGCUAAUACCGCAUACGACCUGAGGGUGAAAGCGGGGGACCGCAAGGCCUCGCGCGAUUGGAGCGGCCGAUGUCAGAUUAGGUAGUUGGUGGGGUAAAGGCCCACCAAGCCGACGAUCUGUAGCUGGUCUGAGAGGACGACCAGCCACACUGGGACUGAGACACGGCCCAGACUCCUACGGGAGGCAGCAGUGGGGAAUCCUGCGCAAUGCGCGAAAGCGUGACGCAGCAACGCCGCGUGAGGGAAGAAGGCCUUCGGGUUGUAAACCUCUUUCAGUUGGGACGAAGCCUCGCCGGUUAAUAGCCGGCCGAGGUGACGGUACCUUCAGAAGAAGCCCCGGCUAACUACGUGCCAGCCGCCGCUGUAACAC
rnacentral:rRNA from 1 species